CCUCAAAGAAGUAGUUCACGGUGAUCAUGCACCAGAUGCCGCCGGUCAACAGCUUCUCGUUGUCCUUGACCAUUUGCGGCGGCACCAGUGCAUCUUUAAUGCCGAGGUUGGAAAGCUGGGCUUCGUAGUCCGGAUUGGAGUCUGCAACUCGACUCCAUGAAGUCGGAAUCGCUAGUAAUCGUGGAUCAGAAUGCCACGGUGAAUACGUUCCCGGGCCUUGUACACACCGCCCGUCACACCAUGGGAGUG
rnacentral:rRNA from 1 species